GCAUUAAUGGGAUAGUGGUAACCUGGAUCGUUGCCAUAUGGGUGAAUAUAUAACUGUUCAGUUGGACUCGAUCCGCUGGGAGUUCGAUUCUCUCUUAAUGCA